rnacentral:rRNA from 1 species
GAUGAACGCUGGCGGCGUGCCUAAUACAUGCAAGUCGAGCGAACGGACGAGAAGCUUGCUUCUCUGAUGUUAGCGGCGGACGGGUGAGUAACACGUGGAUAACCUACCUAUAAGACUGGGAUAACUUCGGGAAACCGGAGCUAAUACCGGAUAAUAUUUUGAACCGCAUGGUUCAAAAGUGAAAGACGGUCUUGCUGUCACUUAUAGAUGGAUCCGCGCUGCAUUAGCUAGUUGGUAAGGUAACGGCUUACCAAGGCAACGAUGCAUAGCCGACCUGAGAGGGUGAUCGGCCACACUGGAACUGAGACACGGUCCAGACUCCUACGGGAGGCAGCAGUAGGGAAUCGUCCGCAAUGGGCGAAAGCCUGACGGAGCAACGCCGCGUGAGUGAUGGAGGUCUUCGGAUCGUAAAACUCUGUUAUUAGGGAAGAACAUAUGUGUAAGUAACUGUGCACAUCUUGACGGUACCUAAUCAGAAAGCCACGGCUAACUACGUG